GAUCCGCCCGAGCAGGCUGCACGGCGGCGGCGCUCCGAGGGUCCCGGCGCUGGGACUGGCGCCUCUGGGGCCGCGGUGGGCGCUGCUGGGACGGAAGGAUGGGCUCUCUGGGAGCCGUGCCCAGGGGCUGUGUGUGUCCCCGCUCCGGCGGGGCCGAUCCCCGCAGGUGUGCGGGCCCUGCUCCCGGGGGCCGGCAACACAGGGACGGACAGAGGGAAUCCCCCCGGCUGGCGUGUCCCUGUUCUUGCCCUUGCUCCACUCUGUUUCCCUGGCUUGUUGUCUUCAAACACACGUGUGCUUUUCUUUAAGGAAAAUAAAUCAGCAACUACCCUGGGACACAGCACUUGGGGUGUUCAUCCAGGAAGGGGCUGCUCGGGUCCUAAAAAAGAGGAGUUGGCUGGUCCCUGGGAAGCGUGGGACAAGGACCGAAGGACACAUUCUUGUCAGCCUGGCAGAGAAGCAGCAAAUUGUGCUGGAAGAAUAUCGACCAGUGCCUGUGCGAUGGUGAUCUACAGUUUUACAAUGAAGCUGGAAAUGAAAUAGUGUUAUUUUGAAGGAAACCCUCAGGUGGAACGCACGAGAGAGAUUAUAUGCUUUUCUAGCAUCUUAAUGAAAAUAAAUUAAUAAAAAUGGGAACGAAAGACUUAUUUUUUAGGUUUUUUUUUUUUUUUUUUCGGUGGGGAGGCGUGGCGUCCUCUAAGGGGCCUAAACCUUACUUUUAGAGAGUUACUUUGUCAGUGUGGGUUGUGAGCACAGGUGCUGCCUCAUUCUCCUAUUGCCGCAACUCAGGUACAAACCUGCUGCAAGCUGCGAGUUUAGGCACUAACUUUUUAAGAAAAAUAAAUUUUUCCGAGUGCGAAGAGCAACCCCGUAGAAGCAUGGACUCCCAGAAUGGGGCUGGGAGGGUCCCCGUC